ACCUCGGGACAUUGUUGAGGACAGAUGUAAUGAAUGUGAGUAUCGAUUCCACCGGCAGUGACGAUCAUUUUCUCGCCAGCGAUGACCUCAGUUGAGGAGCCCACGAUGAGUCGAGGAUCGACACCAUCCAUAACAUCUGGAUUGCCAGAUUUCCCAAUCCCGAUGAUUGUACCACCGGAUAUACCGAUAUCAGCCUACUCGAUUCAAUGAGAUACGAUCCUAUUGAGCGUCAAAGAGAAUAAGAUCAAACCUUGUAGAUGCCCGACCAGUCGAUGAUGAGUGCGUUCGUGAUGACAAGGUCGAUAGCUUCCGUAGAUGACCGAUUCGUCGCUUGACCCAUUCCCUCUCGGAU
rnacentral:sRNA from 1 species